rnacentral:sRNA from 1 species
GGGCUCAUACUCAUCUUAUGGGAGAGAAUCAAACUUACAGGGUUGCCACCAGAGUCUCCUUGGAGGUGACAUGGAUAUGGGCAACCCAGGAACCCUUUCGCCCACCAAACCUGGUUCCCAGUACUAUCAGUAUUCUAGCAAUAAUCCCCGAAGGAGGCCUCUUCACAGUAGUGCCAUGGAGGUACAGACAAAGAAAGUUCGAAAAGUUCCUCCAGGUUUGCCAUCUUCAAUAAACGGAAUGUGUUGGAAAGGACAACAAAUAAAAAGUUAAAUAUGUGGAAAUGACAUGGAAAGCACCUGUUUCUUCCCUUUGUUUUCUUCUACGUCAUCAGGAAAUAAUAUUUAACCAUAGAAUAUGGUGUCCCUCUACGAAAAUGUUUAUAAUUGAAUGUUCAAAGUAGAAUAUAGAUUAAAUAAGUAAAGGUGACUUGCCAAAAAAAAAUUAAAGAACAUGUGAAACAAA